AUGUGUGUGUGCAGUCUGUGUGCAUGUGCAUAUAUGCAUCUGGUCUUGUGUGUGUGUACGCAGUGUGUGUAUGUGUCUGUGUGCAUGUGCGUGUGUCCGUGCGUCUGCGUGCAAGUGUCGUCGCGGUGCAGGAGAAGGCGGAGGGCCUGCAGUGGCGAUGCGGGGCAGGGAGCAGGGCGGCCACCGGCGGGCAGCUCACCUGGUGAAGCGGACCUUGCAGAUGUUGCACUCGUAGGGCUUCUCGCCCGUGUGGGUGCGGAUGUGCCGCGGCAGCUUGCCGGCGCCCUGGAUGACCUUCUCGCAGAUGGGGCACUUCUGGAAGGCCUUGGCUCGGAUCUUCUUCUCCACCUUCUGCGACCAGGCGGGUCAGCUGGAAGUACUUCAGGUAGUAGUCCAUGGUCGCCGCCCGACUCGUCGCUGUCCCCGCCAGCGGCCCCCCGCCCGCCCACCGAGGACAUCAUCUGCUGCAGCAGCGUGCUGGCCGCCAGCCCGUCCACGUCGGGCCCGUCCCGUCCUCGCCUCGGCCGCUCCCGACAGGAAGCCCGGAGAGUCGCCCGGCUCGGGGGCCGCCUCCGACAGCGACGCCGGCCUCCUCUCCGCCCGGCCGUAGUGGCGUUCUGCGUGGCGGCCGGCGGGGCCACCGGCGGCGGAAACAGACCCCCGGUGGGGCGUCCUCAUCCCGCUCGGCCACAGACCCGGGUUGCUGUCGCCCUCCCCGUCCCCCGUCGGGUCGCCGGGGGCCCGCCCAUAGCCGUUGCAGUCGCCCGGCCACGGCGGCCACGGCAGCGGCCACGGCCUCCUUGGUGGCAUCCAGGUCAUCAUCGGACGCCCGGGCGGACCACGGAAGCUGGCGGCGGCGGCCGCGGGGGCAGGCUGUUCAUGGGGUUGCUCUGGAAGAACUCGAGGUACUCCUUGGCUGAGGAGGUUGCGCUGAUCAAUUUGAUCUACAAGGUCCAGCUGCCCGGCGUCGGCGCCCGCGUCGGCCGCCAGGAUCUGCCGGUCCAGGAGGUCGGCGCACGUGGCUCACGGCGGGGAUCUCCAGCAGGCGGGCGGCACUGA
rnacentral:lncRNA from 1 species